UGUUAGCUUGAUCACAAGCAAUGGAUGGAAGGCACAGAGGAAGCCAGGAGGGCUACGACUGCUCAACCAAUUCUUAAGAAGACCCCAGCUGUGGGAUUAGAUCACCAGAUUGUGGGAUUCUUGGCGAUCCCAGUGAGAUCACCUCUGGCUGCAGGAAUCUAGUUGCUGGCUGAUGGAAUUAUUUUAUUUACUUGGAGGGAUAUAUGGUCUGGGACAUAAACACAAACAUCACCAAAGAUGGAAUUACUGAGCAGAGGGUCUGCCUCAAAUGCUGAAGUUGGAGAAUAAGGAAAAUGGAAGGAGAAUUUUGUCCUGGAGUGCUGCCCAAAUUCAGGCGGAUGGAGGAGUGAUCUCCUAGCCCCAAUUGUGCUACCUGUGCUACCUUGACCUUGUAUUAUAGAUGCAGUCAUUCUUUUUUUCUCACUAAAGAAUGAAUUAUGGAUAUUUAAAAAGUAUCUUAUUUCUACCUCAUUUCUCAUUUUCUUUUAUCCUCACCCCAAUCUUUCUUCAUGAAGAUUUUCCUAUGUUAUCUGUUAAUGCCAGAAUUCAUUCAUUUUUAACAGUGAAUGACUUAUUGGCCAGCUGUACCUCUUCUUUCUUGAAGUGUCUGUUCAUUUCACUUGUCUUUUAUUUUGGGGAGUCUAUUUUUUUGAGUUCUUUAUAUAUUCUAGAUACUAGUCCUCUGUCUGAAGAAUAGCUGGCAAAA